rnacentral:lncRNA from 10 species
GAAUAGAGGAUUUUGCCUGAUUCCGAUCUCGGUCCGGAGUUUGUGAGGUGGCGAUGUCCCUUCCAGGAAAAAGAAAAAAAACAUGGACCACUGAUUUUUCUGUGGUUAUGUGUUCUUUUUCCCCAAGAUAUGAAAAGGAAACUGCUGUAGUUGUUUUUUAACCAUGAAGGGAACUUUUGGAGAACAGAACCAGCACACCGAAGGUGGGGAAAGUGGAGAGAAGGAAAGAACCUGGGCCCUUGAUGACAUUAUAGAGUCACUGUAUUAGCCAACUGUGGAGCUGGUUGACUUCUGGACUU